rnacentral:rRNA from 1 species
CCUACGGGAGGCUGCAGUGGGGAAUAUUGGACAAUGGGGGCAACCCUGAUCCAGCCAUGCCGCGUGUGUGAAGAAGGCCCUCGGGUUGGAAAGCACUUUCAGUGAGGAAGAACGCCUGGUGGUUAAUACCCAUCAGGAAAGACAUCACUCACAGAAGAAGCACCGGCUAACUCCGUGCCAGCAGCCGCGGUAAUACGGAGGGUGCGAGCGUUAAUCGGAAUUACUGGGCGUAAAGCGCGCGUAGGUGGCUUGAUAAGCCGGUUGUGAAAGCCCCGGGCUCAACCUGGGAACGGCAUCCGGAACUGUCAAGCUAGAGUGCAGGAGAGGAAGGUAGAAUUCCCGGUGUAGCGGUGAAAUGCGUAGAGAUCGGGAGGAAUACCAGUGGCGAAGGCGGCCUUCUGGACUGACACUGACACUGAGGUGCGAAAGCGUGGGUAGCAAACAGGAUUAGAUACCCCUGUAGUC